UCGUUGGUGAACCAGCGGAAGGAUCAUUA
rnacentral:rRNA from 1 species